UAGAAUUUGGUGUAAUUGGGAGCACGAAGAGUUUUGGAUUCUUAGGAGUAGGUUCGAUUCCUAUAGUUCUAG
rnacentral:tRNA from 8 species